UUUAUACUCUUUAAAAUUAAUCUAUUCAUUGUCGUUUUUAGGCCUUUGGUGAUACUUGAAAAACUAGUGGGAUUAGAAAAUAUUAAAGCAUCAAUAGGAGCCUUGGUGCAUAUAUCAGAGAAUAUAUUGCAGGAAAAACAGAGAAGAUGGAUGAACAAUUUGAAGGUUGUACAUUUAGGAAGUAAAGAAUUCAAGAUAGCUAGUAUUAUGAGGGAUUUAUUUUGGGCAUUUUCUGAGCACCAAGAACGCUUACAGAAGAGGCUUGCACUUGAGGAGCGAAGGAUAUUUGCAGCUAAUGAACAAUUAGCUUAAAUGUUUGUCCUUCACUUCUUAAUGUUUUUUUUUUGCUCAUAUGUAAAUACAACUACUGCAGGCCUAUGACCUACUUUUUCUUUUCUUCCAAAAUUAUUGGUAUUAAAGCGUUAAGAAAAUGUUGAUCGGUCCAGAAAUUAGUUUUCAAAAAGUUUAUUUUUAUAUUCUAAAA